CAGGUCAAGCAAGAUUACCUACUAACUUAGUAGGAUUUUGCUAGUAAUGGUGAGUGAAGUAGGAAUAGUCUAGCUUGAGAAUUGGGCACCCUUAGUGUCUGAAUUGUAGUCUGGAGAAGUGUCUUUAGUAGUGGUCCAGGCCCAAGUCCCCUGAAAAAAGGCUUCAGAGAAGGUGAGAGCCCUAUUAUGCCUGGAUCCUAUCACACAUGAGCCACUAUCUAUGAGUCAGGUUGUUAUGGGUAUGCAACCCUAAUGGGGUGGUAAAUUCCAUCCAAGGCUGAAUAAGGGCGAGAGACCAAUAGUGAAUAAGUACCGUAAGGGAAAAAUGAAAAGGACUUUAAAAAGAGAGUCAAAGAGAGCUUGAAAUUGUUAAAAGGGAAGCGGAUGGAGGCUGGCGAUGCACCCCAGUUAGAUGUGGAACUACAAGAACCAGUCGACAGAUCAGUUCGAGACAUGGACCAUCAUGGUCUUGAUGGUGGCCCAAUCUCGAGCUUUUGAUAUGCCUAUGAAGAUGUCAUUGCCAUAAUUAUGGAAUGCAGCACGCAUCAUCUUGGCAUUCCUCAGCACCAUCAUGCUCCAACAGGCUAGAAAACUUGUAAGGUGAAAGGAAGUCAAUUAGCAAGAUCCCUCGCAAGUGCACCAUUGAUCGACCUUGAUCUUUUAAGAAAGGUUCAAGUGUGAGCAUGCUUGUUAAGACUCGAAAGAUGGUGAACUACGCUUGAGUGGGACGAAGCCAGAGGAAACUUUAGUGGAGGGCUGCAGCGAUACUGAUGUGCAAAUCAUUUGUCUGACUUAGGUAUAAGGGCAAAAGACUAAAUAAACCAUCUAGUAGUCGGAUCCCUCUAAAGUUUCCCUCAGGAUAGCUGGAGCCCUUAACGAGUCUAUCGAGUAAAGCCAAUGAUUAGAGGCAUUAGGGCUGCAACGCCAUCGACCUAUUCUCAAACUUUAAAUAGGUAGGAUGGCAUGACUGCUUCAUUGAGCCAUGCCAUAGAAUUGAGAGCUCCAAGUGAGCUACUUUUGGUAAGUAAAACUGGUGAUGAUGGAUGAACCAAAUGCCAAGUUACGAUGACUAACUUCGCCCUAACCUAGAACCCAUAAAGGGUGUUGGUCAAUUAAAAUAGCAGGAUAGUGGUCAUGGAAGAUAAAAUUUGCUAAAGAGUGUGUAACAACUCACCUGCCACAUCAACUAGCCUUGAAAAUGGAUGGCGUUUAAGCUAUGACUUAUACCUGGCCGUUGAGGUAAAGGCCAGGCCUCUAUAAGUAGCAGGGCAUAAUGGUUGUCAAAAAACAUAGGGUGCAAAUGUGGGAAGAACAACUAUCAGUGCAGAUCUUAGUAGUAGUAGCAAAUAUACAAAUGAGAACUUUGAAGGUCGAAGAGGGGAAAGGUUCAUAUAAACGGCACUUACACAUAGGAUAGUGGAUCUAAGAGACUGGGGAAGCUCGUUCGAUAGUGCAUUUGGUGUGAGCUUCAAAGACGAAUCAGGUUAAAAAUCUUGAACUGAGACAUGGUAGCUGAUGGCAAAGUUAGGGAGUCCAGAGACAUUGGUAUGCCCUUGGAAAGAGUUAUCUUUUCUAUUUAAUAGCCUACCUACCUUGGAAACAGCUCAGUCGAAGGUAGGGUCUAGUGGUCAGAAGAGCAAUGCACAUCAUGUGGUGUCCAGCGCACCCCUGAUGGCCUUUAAAAAUCCUAAGGAUCGAGUGCCAUCUACCCCUAAUCGAACUCAUAACCGCAUCAAGUUUUCAAGGUCAAUAACCUCUAGCCAGUGGAACAAUGGAGGCAAGGGAAGUCAGCAAAAUGAAUCUGUAACCUUAAAAAAAGGUUUGGCUAGGAGGGCUAGGCAUGAGGGUCCCAGUCCUAAACUUGACAACUGUCAGUGCAUUGCUUGAGCUACUCCUAUAGUGAGAAUAGGUCACUACAUGUCAGCUAAGGAACAAACUAGGAAUAGCUCCUUCAGGGGCCUUCCUCAAGUGAUGAAGACUCAAAACUAGUAUGUACAAUGGGAAUCCAAUUGUUUAAUUGAAACAAAGCAUUGUGAUGGUCCCUAUGGAUGCUUAUGCAAUGUGAUUUUCACCCAGUUUUUUGAAUGUCAAAGUGAAGAAAUUCAACCAAGCAUGGGUAAAUGGUAGGAGUAACUAUGACUCUCUUAAGGCAGCCAAAUGCUAUGUCAUCUAAUUAGUCACGUGCAUGAAUGGAUUAACAAGAUUCCCACUAACCCUAUCUACUAUCUAGUAAAACCACAGCCAAGGGAAUAGGCUUAGCAGUAUCAACAGAGAAAGAAGACCUUGUUAAGCUUGACUUUAGUCUGAUUUUGUGAAAUAACUUGAAAGGUGUAGGAUAAGUGGGAGCCCUUGGGUGAAGUUGAAAUACCACUACUUUUAAUGUUGUUUUACUUAUUCCAUGAAUCAGAGGUAAGGCACAAUUGCUUCUUUAUGACCCAAAGUGACCUCAAUUGGUUGAUCCAGGUGGAAGACAUUAUGAAGUGAGGAGUUCGGUUAGGGUGGCACAUUUGUUAAAAGAUAAUGUAAGUGUCCUAAGAUAAGCUCAACAAGAACAUAAAUCUCUUGCGGAACAAAAGGGUAAAAGAACAUUUAAUUUUACCAAAACAAAUAUGAACCUUGAAAGCAUGGCCUAUUGAUCCUUUAGACCUUUAAAAUUUAAAGCUAAAGGUGUCAAAAAAGUUACCACAAGGAUAAUUGGCUUAUGGCAGCUAAGCAUUCAUAGCAACAUUACUUUUUGAUCUUUCAAUGUCGGCUCUUCCUAUCAUUGUGAAGUAAAAUUCACCAAGUGUUAGAUUGUUCACCCAUCAAUAGGGAACGUGAGCUAGGUUUAGACUGUCAUGAGAAAGGUUAGUUUUACCCUAUAAAUGGUAGUGUCGCAAUAGUAAUUCAACCUAGUAUGAGAGGAAUCUUUGAUUCACACAAUUGGUCAUUGUGCUUGGUUGAAAAGCCAAUGGUGUGAAGCUAUCAUGCACUGGAUUAUGACUGAUCACCUCUAUGUCAGAAUCUAGGUGACAAGUGACACACACGCCUAUCUCUCGAUUGCCAACUCGUAGUAAGGACCAAUGCCCUUAAGGGCAUGUGUCAUAGGCAUAGCCCAAUGGUAGAUAAGCUGUGCGGGCCUCCUUGAAGCUUAAUUCCCAUUAAA
rnacentral:rRNA from 1 species